rnacentral:rRNA from 1 species
CAUAGGUUAAUGAGGCGAACCGGGGGAACUGAAACAUCUAAGUACCCCGAGGAAAAGAAAUCAACCGAGAUUCCCCCAGUAGCGGCGAGCGAACGGGGAGGAGCCCAGAGCCUGAAUCAGUGUGUGUGUUAGUGGAAGCGUCUGGAAAGGCGCGCGAUACAGGGUGACAGCCCCGUACACAAAAAUGCACAUACUGUGAGCUCGAUGAGUAGGGCGGGACACGUGGUAUCCUGUCUGAAUAUGGGGGGACCAUCCUCCAAGGCUAAAUACUCCUGACUGACCGAUAGUGAACCAGUACCGUGAGGGAAAGGCGAAAAGAACCCCGGCGAGGGGAGUGAAAAAGAACCUGAAACCGUGUACGUACAAGCAGUGGGAGCCUCUUUAUGGGGUGACUGCGUACCUUUUGUAUAAUGGGUCAGCGACUUAUAUUCUGUAGCAAGGUUAACCGAAUAGGGGAGCCGAAGGGAAACCGAGUCUUAACUGGGCGUUAAGUUGCAGGGUAUAGACCCGAAACCCGGUGAUCUAGCCAUGGGCAGGUUGAAGGUUGGGUAACACUAACUGGAGGACCGAACCGACUAAUGUUGAAAAAUUAGCGGAUGACUUGUGGCUGGGGGUGAAAGGCCAAUCAAACCGGGAGAUAGCUGGUUCUCCCCGAAAGCUAUUUAGGUAGCGCCUCGUGAAUUCAUCUCCGGGGGUAGAGCACUGUUUCGGCAAGGGGGUCAUCCCGACUUACCAACCCGAUGCAAACUGCGAAUACCGGAGAAUGUUAUCACGGGAGACACACGGCGGGUGCUAACGUCCGUCGUGAAGAGGGAAACAACCCAGACCGCCAGCUAAGGUCCCAAAGUCAUGGUUAAGUGGGAAACGAUGUGGGAAGGCCCAGACAGCCAGGAUGUUGGCUUAGAAGCAGCCAUCAUUUAAAGAAAGCGUAAUAGCUCACUGGUCGAGUCGGCCUGCGCGGAAGAUGUAACGGGGCUAAACCAUGCACCGAAGCUGCGGCAGCGACACUAUGUGUUGUUGGGUAGGGGAGCGUUCUGUAAGCCUGUGA